rnacentral:misc_RNA from 1 species
AACGCACAUUGCGCCCGCCAGUAUUCUGGCGGGCAUGCCUGUCUGAGCGUCAUUUCAACCCUCACGCUCCUAGGGCGUGGUGUUGGGGAUCGGCCAAAGCCCGCAAGGGACGGCCGGCCCCUAAAUCUAGUGGCGGACCCGUCGUGGCCUCCCCUGCGAAGUAGUGAUAUUUCCGCAUAGGAGAGCGAUGAGCCCCUGCCGUUAAACCCCCAAAUUUACAAGGUUGACCUCAGAUCAGGUAGGAAUACCCGCUGAACUUAA